AUGCACGCUGGCGGCGUGCCUAAUACCUGCAAGUCGAGCGCACGGACGAGAAGCUUGCUUCUCUGAUGUUAGCGGCGGACGGGUGAGUAACACGUGGAUAACCUACCUAUAAGACUGGGAUAACUUCGGGAAACCGGAGCUAAUACCGGAUAAUAUUUUGAACCGCAUGGUUCAAAAGUGAAAGACGGUCUUGCUGUCACUUAUAGAUGGAUCCGCGCUGCAUUAGCUAGUUGGUAAGGUAACGGCUUACCAAGGCAACGAUGCAUAGCCGACCUGAGAGGGUGAUCGGCCACACUGGAACGGAGACACGGUCCAGACUCCUACGGGAGGCAGCAGUAGGGAAUCUUCCGCAAUGGGCGAAAGCCUGACGGAGCAACGCCGCGUGAGUGAUGAAGGUCUUCGGAUCGUAAAACUCUGUUAUGAGGGAAGAACAUAUGUGUAAGUAACUGUGCACAUCUUGACGGUACCUAAUCAGAAAGCCACGGCUAACUACGUG
rnacentral:rRNA from 1 species